rnacentral:rRNA from 1 species
AGUGAACGCUGGCGGUAGGCCUAACACAUGCCAGUCGAACGGCAGCACAGUAAGAGCUUGCUCUUACGGGUGGCGAGUGGCGGAUGGGUGAGGAAUACAUCGGAAUCUACUUUUUCGUGGGGGAUAACGUAGGGAAACUUACGCUAAUACCGCAUACGACCUACGGGUGAAAGCAGGGGAUCUUCGGACCUUGCGCGAUUGAAUGAGCCGAUGUCGGAUUAGCUAGUUGGCGGGGUAAAGGCCCACCAAGGCGACGAUCCGUAGCUGGUCUGAGAGGAUGAUCAGCCACACUGGAACUGAGACACGGUCCAGACUCCUACGGGAGGCAGCAGUGGGGAAUAUUGGACAAUGGGCGCAAGCCUGAUCCAGCCAUUCCGCGUGGGUGAAGAAGGCCUUCGGGUUGUAAAGCCCUUUUGUUGGGAAAGAAAAGCAGCAGGUUAAUACCCCGCUGUUCUGACGGUACCCAAAGAAUAAGCACCGGCUAACUUCGUG